rnacentral:rRNA from 1 species
UACGUAGGGUGCGAGCGUUGUCCGGAAUCAUUGGGCGUAAAGCGCGUGUAGGCGGUCCGGUAAGUCCGCUGUGAAAGUCGGGGGCUCAACCCUCGAAUGCCGGUGGAUACUGUCGGGCUAGAGUGCGGAAGAGGCGAGUGGAAUUCCUGGUGUAGCGGUGAAAUGCGCAGAUAUCAGGAGGAACACCAAUUGCGAAGGCAGCUCGCUGGGACGUAACUGACGCUGAGACGCGAAAGCGUGGGGAGCAAACAGG